AGCGAACGCUGGCGGCAGGCCUAACACAUGCAAGUCGAACGGAUCCUUCGGGAUUAGUGGCGGACGGGUGAGUAACACGUGGGAACGUGCCCUUUGGUUCGGAACAACUCAGGGAAACUUGAGCUAAUACCGGAUGUGCCCUUCGGGGGAAAGAUUUAUCGCCAUUGGAGCGGCCCGCGUAGGAUUAGCUAGCUGGUGAGGUAAAGGCUCACCAAGGCUACGAUCCUUAGCUGGUCUGAGAGGAUGAUCAGCCACAUUGGGACUGAGACACGGCCCAAACUCCUACGGGAGGCAGCAGUGGGGAAUCUUGCGCAAUGGGCGAAAGCCUGACGCAGCCAUGCCGCGUGAAUGAUGAAGGUCUUAGGAUUGUAAAAUUCUUUCACCGGGGACGAUAAUGACGGUACCCGGAGAAGAAGCCCCGGCUAACUUCGUGCCAGCCGCCGCAGUAAAAC
rnacentral:rRNA from 1 species